rnacentral:rRNA from 1 species
GAUGAACGCUGGCGGCGUGCUUAACACAUGCAAGUCGAACGAAGCACUUUAUUUGAUUUCCUUCGGGACUGAUUAUUUUGUGACUGAGUGGCGGACGGGUGAGUAACGCGUGGGUAACCUGCCUUGUACAGGGGGAUAACAGUUGGAAACGGCUGCUAAUACCGCAUAAGCGCACAGCAUCGCAUGAUGCAGUGUGAAAACCUCCGGUGGUAUAAGAUGGACCCGCGUUGGAUUAGCUAGUUGGUGAGGUAACGGCCCACCAAGGCGACGAUCCAUAGCCGACCUGAUAGGGUGACCGGCCACAUUGGGACUGAGACACGGCCCAAACUCCUACGGGAGGCAGCAGUGGGGAAUAUUGCACAAUGGGCGAAAGCCUGAUGCAGCGACGCCGCGUGAGCGAAGAAGUAUUUCGGUAUGUAAAGCUCUAUCAGCAGGGAAGAUAAUGACGUUACCUGACGAAGAAGCACCGGCUAAAUACGUG